rnacentral:rRNA from 2 species
GUUGACCUCGGAUCAGGUAGGGAUACCCGCUGAACUUAAGCAUAUCAAUAAGCGGAGGAAAAGAAACCAACAGGGAUUGCUCUAGUAACGGCGAGUGAAGCAGCAAUAGCUCAAAUUUGAAAUCUGGCGUCUUCGGCGUCCGAGUUGUAAUUUGUAGAGGAUGCUUCUGGGCAGCCACCGACCUAAGUUCCUUGGAACAGGACGUCAUAGAGGGUGAGAAUCCCGUAUGCGGUCGG